UACGGGGGGAGCAAGCGUUAUUCGGAAUCACUGGGCAUAAAGGGCGCGUAGGCGGCUCCAAAAGUCAGGGGUGAAAUCCGGCAGCUUAACUGUCGCAGUGCCUUUGAUACUGUGGAGCUAGAGGGAGGUAGGGGUCUGUGGAACUUCCGGUGGAGCGGUGAAAUGCGUUGAUAUCGGAAGGAACGCCGGUGGCGAAAGCGACGGACUGGAUCUCUUCUGACGCUGAGGCGCGAAAGCCAGGGGAGCAAACGGG
rnacentral:rRNA from 1 species